UACGAAGGGUGCAAGCGUUAAUCGGAAUUAUUGGGCGUAAAGGGCGCGUAGGCGGUUUGACAAGUCUGAUGUGAAAUCUCUGGGCUCAACCCAGAGUCUGCAUUAGAAACUGUCGGGCUUGAGUAUGGGAGAGGUGAGUGGAAUUUCCGGUGUAGCGGUGAAAUGCGUAGAUAUCGGAAGGAACACCUGUGGCGAAAGCGGCUCACUGGACCAUAACUGAUGCUGAGGCGCGAAAGCUAGGGGAGCAAACAGG
rnacentral:rRNA from 1 species